rnacentral:lncRNA from 1 species
GGUGGGGGGUCUCUGUGAAGAGAAGAGGUGCCUGCAGCAGAGCCUGCCCUGUCCCCUCCGUGGUUCCACAUCCGUGCCUCUGAGGACCUUGGACCCCCAAAGCGAGGCCCGAAGGUGAGGGACGGCCGGUGUCAUCGUUGGAGCUUCCUAAGAGUCCCAGAGGCUGAUGCACCUCCCAGACUCUCCUCGGCCCGGCUCCCUGGGCCCUGCUCCAGGGGCUUCAUUGCUCCCUGCCCCGGGUCACCCCUCGGCUCACCGUCUCUCAGGUGUGGAAUAUCCUGCUCCAAUCAAAGCCAUGUCACCUGCGUUGUCCAGUGAAACAUCAGUGGACAGGCGCUGCCCGGGCUCCAGGGAGCUCCUCACUGAGGCUCACUCCCUGUGCCUCUGCCAUCAGCACAGGGGGACAUGCCUGGCUGCCUGUGGGACCAGGGAGGACGCGCGGUGCGGGAGCAGAGCCAGCCACACUGCCGCUGCUGCACUGUUCAUCUGAGUGGCGCAAGGUUAUGUGUUUCAGCUGCGAGUUUUUCAAAUUGUUGCAAAUCUUCAAACAUUUUUCCAACAAAUUUACUGAAAAAAAUCCACAUAUAAGUGGCACCCCCACCAGUUUAAACCUGUGUUGUUCAAGAGUCAGCUAUUUUUAUGAGGUGUUUUCAAAAGUUUAUGGAAAAUGAAUCUUAUGAAUAAAACUAUGCAUGGAUUUCAAAUCUUUUGCACCAAAAUAAACUCAUACUAACUUGUUAUAAAA